UACCAGCACCCCGAGUGGUCGGGACGAUUAUUGGGCCUAAAGCAUCCGUAGCCGGUUCUACAAGUCUUCCGUUAAAUCCACCUGCUCAACAGUUGGGCUGCGGAGGAUACUGUAGAGCUAGGAGGCGGGAGAGGCAAGCGGUACUUAGUGGGUAGGGGUAAAAUCCGUUGAUCCAUUGAAGACCACCAGUGGCGAAGGCGGCUUGCCAGAACGCACUCGACGGUGAGGGAUGAAAGCUGGGGGAGCAAACCGG
rnacentral:rRNA from 1 species